AGUGAACGCUGGCGGUAGGCCUAACACAUGCAAGUCGAACGGCAGCACAGGAGAGCUUGCUCUCUGGGUGGCGAGUGGCGGACGGGUGAGGAAUACAUCGGAAUCUACUUUUUCGUGGGGGAUAACGUAGGGAAACUUACGCUAAUACCGCAUACGACCUACGGGUGAAAGCAGGGGACCUUCGGGCCUUGCGCGAUUGAAUGAGCCGAUGUCGGAUUAGCUAGUUGGCGGGGUAAAGGCCCACCAAGGCGACGAUCCGUAGCUGGUCUGAGAGGAUGAUCAGCCACACUGGAACUGAGACACGGUCCAGAAUCCUACGGGAGGCAGCAGUGGGGAAUAUUGGACAAUGGGCGCAAGCCUGAUCCAGCCAUACCGCGUGGUGAAGAAGGCCUUCGGGUUGUAAAGCCCUUUUGUUGGGAAAGAAAUCCAGCUGGCUAAUACCCGGUUGGGACGACGGUACCCAAAGAAUAAGCACCGGCUAACUUCGUGCCAGCCGCCGCAGUAA
rnacentral:rRNA from 1 species